rnacentral:misc_RNA from 1 species
UCUGGCUUAUAGCCUAGCGGUCUCGUUAGAGUGCCCAACUUAAUGAUGGUAACUAACGACGAGGGUUGCGCUCGUUGCGGGACUUAACCCAACAUCUCACAACACGAGCUGACGACAGCCAUGCAGCACCUGUGUCCGCGUCCCGUGAGGGAACUGCCCUAUUAGAGGCAUAGCGCGGCAUGUCAAGUCCAGGUAAGGUUUUUCGCGUAGCAUCGAAUUAAACCACAUGCUCCACCGCUUGUGCGGGCCCCCGUCAAUUCCUUUGAGUUUUAAUCUUGCGACCGUAAUCCCCAGGCGGGAUACUUAAUGCGUUAGCUGCGUUACCGAGCCUAUUAGGGAGCCCGACAACUAGUAUCCAUCGUUUAGGGCGUGGACUAC